GAGGGGUAUGGCAGCAAUGCCAGAGACCGGCGCACGGGUGCGUAACGCGUAUGCAAUCUGCCUUUCACAGAGGGAUAGCCCAGAGAAAUUUGGAUUAAUACCUCAUAGUAUAGUACAACCGCAUGGUUGAACUAUUAAAGUCACAACGGUGAAAGAUGAGCAUGCGUCCCAUUAGCUAGUUGGUAAGGUAACGGCUUACCAAGGCUACGAUGGGUAGGGGUCCUGAGAGGGAGAUCCCCCACACUGGUACUGAGACACGGACCAGACUCCUACGGGAGGCAGCAGUAAGGAAUAUUGGUCAAUGGGCGCAAGCCUGAACCAGCCAUGCCGCGUGCAGGAUGACGGUCCUAUGGAUUGUAAACUGCUUUUGUACGGGAAGAAACAACUCUACGUGUAGAGUCUUGACGGUACCGUAAGAAUAAGGAUCGGCUAACUCCGUGCCAGCAGCCGCGGUAAUACGGAGGAUCCAAGCGUUAUCCGGAAUCAUUGGGUUUAAAGGGUCCGUAGGCGGUUUGGUAAGUCAGUGGUGAAAGCCCAUCGCUCAACGGUGGAACGGCCAUUGAUACUGCUAGACUUGAAUUAUUAGGAAGCAACUAGAAUAUGUAGUGUAGCGGUGAAAUGCUUAGAGAUUACAUGGAAUACCAAUUGCGAAGGCAGGUUGCUACUAAUGGAUUGACGCUGAUGGACGAAAGCGUGGGUAGCGAACAGGAUUAGAUACCCUGGUAGUCCACGCCGUAAACGAUGGAUACUUGCUGUUGGGAGCGAUCUCAGUGGCUAAGCGAAAGUGAUAAGUAUCCCACCUGGGGAGUAUGUUCGCAAGAAUGAAAC
rnacentral:rRNA from 1 species